AGAGUGAACGCUGGCGGCAGGCCUAACACAUGCAAGUCGAACGGCAGCACAGGGGAGCUUGCUCCCUGGGUGGCGAGUGGCGGACGGGUGAGGAAUACAUCGGAAUCUACCCAGUCGUGGGGGGAUAACCUCGGGAAACCGGGACUAAUACCGCAUACGACCCACGGGUGAAAGCGGAGGACCGCAAGGCUUCGCGCGACUGGAUGAGCCGAUGUCGGAUUAGCUUGUUGGCGGGGUAAUGGCCCACCAAGGCGACGAUCCGUAGCUGGUCUGAGAGGAUGAUCAGCCACACUGGAACUGAGACACGGUCCAGACUCCUACGGGAGCAGCAGUGGGGAAUAUUGGACAAUGGGACGCAAGCCUGAUCCAGCCAUGCCGCGUGAGUGAAGAAGGCCUCGGUUGUAAAGCUCGUUUGUGGGAAGAAAGCAAUCGGUUAAUACCGGUUGUACUGACGGUAACCAAAGAAUAAGCACCGCUAACUUCGUGCCAGCAGCCGACGUAAC
rnacentral:rRNA from 1 species